UACGUAGGGUGCGAGCGUUAAUCGGAAUUACUGGGCGUAAAGCGUGCGCAGGCGGUUUGUUAAGUCCGCUGUGAAAGCCCCGGGCUCAACCUGGGAAUGGCAGUGGAAACUAGCGAGCUAGAGUGUGGCAGAGGGGGGUGGAAUUCCACGUGUAGCAGUGAAAUGCGUAGAGAUGUGGAGGAACACCGAUGGCGAAGGCAGCCCCCUGGGUUGACACUGACGCUCAGGCACGAAAGCGUGGGGAGCAAACAGG
rnacentral:rRNA from 1 species